rnacentral:rRNA from 1 species
CGUAGGGGGCAAGCGUUGUCCGGAUUUAUUGGGCGUAAAGCGCUCGCAGGUGGUUCGUCGCGUCGUGCGUGAAAGACCCCGGCUCAACUGGGGAGGGUCGUGCGAUACGGGCGGACUGGAGGCCAGUAGGGGGAUGCGGAAUUCCGGGUGUAGUGGUGGAAUGCGUAGAGAUCCGGAGGAACACCAGCGGCGAAGGCGGCAUCCUGGACUGGUCCUGACACUCAGGAGCGAAAGCGUGGGGAGCGAUCCGGAUUAGAUACCCGGGUAGUCCACGCUGUAAACGAUGCGCACUAGGUGUCGGGGGUAUCGACCCCCUCGGUGCCGCAGCUAACGCGAUAAGUGCGCCGCCUGGGGACUACGGCCGCAAGGCUA